rnacentral:rRNA from 1 species
AGUGAACGCUGGCGGUAGGCCUAACACAUGCAAGUCGAACGGCAGCACAGUAAGAGCUUGCUCUUACGGGUGGCGAGUGGCGGACGGGUGAGGAAUACAUCGGAAUCUACUUUUUCGUGGGGGAUAACGUAGGGAAACUUACGCUAAUACCGCAUACGACCUACGGGUGAAAGCAGGGGAUCUUCGGACCUUGCGCGAUUGAAUGAGCCGAUGUCGGAUUAGCUAGUUGGCGGGGUAAAGGCCCACCAAGGCGACGAUCCGUAGCUGGUCUGAGAGGAUGAUCAGCCAAACUGGAACUGAGACACGGUCCAGACUCCUACGGGAGGCAGCAGUGGGGAAUAUGGGACAAUGGGCGCAAGCCUGAUCCAGCCAUACCGCGUGGGUGAAGAAGGCCUGCGGGUUGUAAAGCCCUUUUGUUGGGAAAGAAAAGCAGCAGGUUAAUACCCCGCUGUUCUGACGGUACCCAAAGAAUAAGCACCGGCUAACUUCGU